rnacentral:rRNA from 1 species
UACGGGGGGGGUAAGCGUUGUUCGGAAUUACUGGGCGUAAAGGGCUCGUAGGCGGCCAACUAAGUCGGACGUGAAAUCCCUCAGCUUAACUGGGGAACUGCGUCCGAUACUGGAUGGCUUGGAUUUGGGAGAGGGAUGCGGAAUUCCAGGUGUAGCGGUGAAAUGCGUAGAUAUCUGGAGGAACACCGGUGGCGAAGGCGGCAUCCUGGACCAAUAUUGACGCUGAGGAGCGAAAGCUAGGGGAGCAAACGG